ACAGCAGACCGCCUUAUCGCUCCAUACCGUUGUAUGGGGAGGAAAGUCCUGAUACCAUAGGGAAGCAUAGCGGCUAACGGCCGUCCUUACGCUUUGGCGUAAGAGGACAAGUGCAACAGAAAGGAUGUACAGGUAAUGCUGUAGUGAAAUCGGGUAAACUCUAUGUGGUGAAAUGCCACGUAAACCUGCGCCCCGAUUCCGAUAGCUAUCGGGACGGGAAAGGGAUCCCACCCAAUGCAGGAGGGUAGGCAGCUAGAACGUGCUGGCAACAGUACGUCCAGAUAAAUGAUAAGGGUUGCGCUACGGCGUGAUACAGAAUCCGGCUUACAGGUCUGCUUUUUUA
rnacentral:RNase_P_RNA from 1 species